rnacentral:rRNA from 1 species
UACGUAGGGUGCGAGCGUUAAUCGGAAUUACUGGGCGUAAAGCGUGCGCAGGCGGUUGGUUAAGUCUGACGUGAAAGCCCCGGGCUCAACCUGGGAAUGGCAUUGGAAACUGGCCAGCUGGAGUGUGGCAGAGGGGGGUGGAAUUCCGCGUGUAGCAGUGAAAUGCGUAGAGAUGCGGAGGAACACCGAUGGCGAAGGCAGCCCCCUGGGCCAACACUGACGCUCAGGCACGAAAGCGUGGGGAGCAAACAGG